rnacentral:rRNA from 1 species
CGGACGGGUGAGUAACACGUGGAUAACCUACCUAUAAGACUGGGAUAACCUCGGGAAACCGGAGCUAAUACCGGAUAAUAUUUUGAACCGCAUGGUUCAAAAGUGAAAGACGGUCUUGCUGUCACUUAUAGAUGGAUCCGCGCUGCAUUAGCUAGUUGGUAAGGUAACGGCUUACCAAGGCAACGAUGCAUAGCCGACCUGAGAGGGUGAUCGGCCACACUGGAACUGAGACACGGUCCAG